AGCAGAGACCGAAGACGAGCGAGAUGCAGAUCCAUGCGCUGCUCUUGUGGCUGACCUGCUUCAUGUUACUGCAGUGUCCACAUGUCCAGAGCCACCACCAGUUCAAAGAUGCUCCGGUCUCCAGUCUUCAGAAGGAGGUGCGGUCCAGACCAGGAUCUAGACCAGAAACCAGAC